GAUAAGAACGCAGCGAAAUGCGAUAAGUAAUGCGAAUUGCAGAAUUUCCGUGAGUCAUCGAAUCUUUGAACGCACAUUGCGCCCACUGGUAUUCCGGUGGGCAUGCCUGUUCGAGCGUCAUUAUCCUCCCUCAAACCCCGGGUUUGGUGUUGGACCCAAGUUGUGUGAACAACUGGUCUCAAAGACAAUGACGGCGUCCGUGGGACCCUCGGUGCAACGAGCUUUUAGGAGCACGCAUCGAGUUGCAAGGACCUUCCGGGCCGGUCUCCUUUACCAUUUUACAAGGUUGACCUCGGAUCAGGUAGGAAUACCCGCUGAACUUAAGCAUAUCAAUAAGCGGAGGA
rnacentral:misc_RNA from 1 species